GAUGCGGCGGCUCAGGAGAAAUAUGUCAAACUGGUUACAACGCGUUGGCGAUCUAUCCGGGACCGCUUCAGGAGGGAUUACAACAAGGAGGUUCAGGCCCCGAGUGGCUCCGGAGGAACCUCAGGGGCCACCUACAUCCAUACGGCGGCCCUGGGGUUCCUACGAAAGGCAAUGGCACCAAAAAGAAGUGCCAGCAGCACUCGGGAGCCUGACCAACCUCCUGAGGCGGAACCGGAACAGAUC